rnacentral:rRNA from 1 species
GAUGAGCGCUGGCGGCGUGCUUAACACAUGCAAGUCGAACGGAAAGGCUCCUGCUUGCAGGGGUACUCGAGUGGCGAACGGGUGAGUAACACGUGGGUGAUCUGCCCUGCACUUCGGGAUAAGCCUGGGAAACUGGGUCUAAUACCGGAUAGGACGAUGGUUUGGAUGCCAUUGUGGAAAGUUUUUUCGGUGUGGGAUGAGCUCGCGGCCUAUCAGCUUGUUGGUGGGGUAAUGGCCUACCAAGGCGUCGACGGGUAGCCGGCCUGAGAGGGUGUACGGCCACAUCGGGACUGAGAUACGGCCCAGACUCCUACGGGAGGCAGCAGUGGGGAAUAUUGCACAAUGGGCGCAAGCCUGAUGCAGCGACGCCGCGUGGGGGAUGACGGCCUUCGGGUUGUAAACUCCUUUCGCUAGGGACGAAGCGCAAGUGACGGUACCUGGAGAAGAAGCACCGGCUAACUACGUG